rnacentral:rRNA from 1 species
UACGAAGGGGGCUAGCGUUGUUCGGAAUUACUGGGCGUAAAGACGUGCGCAGGCGGCUUCUCAAGUCAGGGGUGAAAGGCCCAGAGCUCAACUCUGGAAUUGCCUUUGAGACUGAGUGGCUUGAGUACGAGAGAGGUGAGUGGAAUUCCCAGUGUAGAGGUGAAAUUCGUAGAUAUUGGGAAGAACACCGGUGGCGAAGGCGGCUCACUGGCUCGUAACUGACGCUCAUGCACGACAGCGUGGGGAUCAAACAGG